UACGCAGGGGGCAAGCGUUGUCCGGAAUCAUUGGGCGUAAAGAGCGUGUAGGCGGCCCGAUAAGUCCGCCGUGAAGGUCCAGGGCUCAACCCUGGAAUGCCGGUGGAAACUGUCGGGCUGGAGUCCGGAAGAGGCGAGUGGAAUUCCUGGUGUAGCGGUGAAAUGCGCAGAUAUCAGGAGGAACACCGGUGGCGAAGGCGGAUCUCUGGGCCGAUACUGACGCUGAGGAGCGAAAGCGUGGGGAGCGAACAGG
rnacentral:rRNA from 1 species